AUGCUUGAUGUGGUGGUUUCCCUGGUAGUAGUUGAAACUAUUAUCCUGAUCACAGAUCCUAAAGUGAGUCAGUUAGCUACUGCAGCGAUUGGUUUUUCUCCUCGGGAACUUUUACCGGCUCCUUCCCCUGCCAAGAUGAGUCAGGGUAAUAGUCUGUAUACUCAUAUUGAAGGAGGUUCUUCUAGACGAGUUUUCUUUGUCGGAGGGUGGAUGAUGUUCUGGGCUCUAGCGACCUUUCAAGAGAGCAGGAUGAGUUAG